UACGAAGGGGGCUAGCGUUGUUCGGAAUUACUGGGCGUAAAGCGCGCGUAGGCGGAUUGUUAAGUCAGCGGUGAAAUCCCGGAGCUCAACUUCGGAACUGCCUUUGAUACUGGCAAUCUAGAGUCCGGAAGAGGUUAGUGGAAUUCCCAGUGUAGAGGUGAAAUUCGUAGAUAUUGGGAAGAACACCAGUGGCGAAGGCGGCUAACUGGUCCGGUACUGACGCUGAGGUGCGAAAGCGUGGGGAGCAAACAGG
rnacentral:rRNA from 1 species